rnacentral:rRNA from 1 species
GACGAACCGUGCGAACGUUGUUCGGAAUCACUGGGCUUAAAGGGCGCGUAGGCGGGCCGCCAAGUCCGGGGUGAAAUCCUCCAGCUCAACUGGAGAACUGCCUCGGAUACUGGAGGUCUCGAGGGAGAUAGGGGCACGCGGAACCGUGGGUGGAGCGGUGAAAUGCGUUGAUAUCCAUGGGAACUCCGGUGGCGAAGGCGGCGUGCUGGAUCUCUUCUGACGCUGAGGCGCGAAAGCCAGGGGAUCAAACGGG